CUGUGUUCCACGCUGUCGGUUCGCCGCCCGUCGGUGUCAACUGGCAUGUCCUGUGGAACGUCCUGCCGGUGGCGGUCCGGGCUUUCGGCUUGCGUAAGGGCUCACGCCCGAAGCAGGCCGAACAGUACCGGCCGCCGGUCCAAUCCCGCCACGGUGCUCUUCACCGAGUGUCGAGGUGGGCCGGCACGUUUACUUUGAACAAAUUAGAGUGCUUAAAGCAGGCUGGUGUCCGCCUGAAUACUGUGUGCAUGGAAUAAUAGAAUAGGACCUCGGUUCUAUUUUGUUGGUUUUCGGAACCCGAGGUAAUGAUUAAUAGGGACAGGCGGGGGCAUUCGUAUUGCGACGUUAGAGGUGAAAUUCUUGGAUCGUCGCAAGACGAACCUAAGCGAAAGCAUUUGCCAAGUAUGUUCUCGUUAAUCAAGAACGAAAGUUAGAGGUUCGAAGGCGAUCAGAUACCGCCCUAGUUCUAACCAUAAACGAUGCCAGCCAGCGAUCCGCCGAAGUUCCUCCGAUGACUCGGCGGGCAGCUUCCGGGAAACCAAAGCUUUUGGGUUCCGGGGGAAGUAUGGUUGCAAAGCUGAAACUUAAAGGAAUUGACGGAAGGGCACCACCAGGAGUGGAGCCUGCGGCUUAAUUUGACUCAACACGGGAAACCUCACCAGGCCCGGACACCGGAAGGAUUGACAGAUUGAGAGCUCUUUCUUGAUUCGGUGGGUGGUGGUGCAUGGCCGUUCUUAGUUGGUGGAGCGAUUUGUCUGGUUAAUUCCGAUAACGAACGAGACUCUAGCCUGCUAACUAGGCGAUUCCGGUACCCACAAUAGUGUUACCGGCGAUUCAAUUUCUUCUUAGAGGGACAGGCGGCUCCUAGCCGCACGAGACUGAGCAAUAACAGGUCUGUGAUGCCCUUAGAUGUCCUGGGCCGCACGCGCGCUACACUGAAGGAAUCAGCGUGUCUUCCCUGGCCGACAGGCCCGGGUAACCCGUUGAACCUCCUUCGUGCUAGGGAUUGGGGCUUGCAAUUGUUCCCCAUGAACGAGGAAUUCCCAGUAAGCGCGAGUCAUAAGCUCGCGUUGAUUACGUCCCUGCCCUUUGUACACACCGCCCGUCGCUACUACCGAUUGAAUGAUUUAGUGAGGUCUUCGGACUGGUGCGCGGCGAUCGGCUUAUACUGCCGGCCGCCGAUGUUGCCGGAAAGAUGACCAAACUUGAUCAUUUAGAGGAAGUAAAAGUCGUAACAAGGUUUCC
rnacentral:rRNA from 1 species